UGGCUUCAGAGAAGGACACAGGGGCA
rnacentral:piRNA from 1 species